rnacentral:rRNA from 1 species
AGCGGCAGACGGGAGAGUAACACGUGGGAACGCGCCCUUUGGUUCGGAAUAACCCAGGGAAACCUGGGCUAAUACCGGAUACGCCCUUACGGGGAAAGAUUUAUUGCCGAAGGAACGGCCCGCGCCCGAUUAGCUAGUUGGUGAGGUAACGGCUCACCAAGGCGACGAUCGGUAGCUGGUCUGAGAGGAUGACCAGCCUCACUGGGACUGAGACACGGCCCAGACUCCUACGGGAGGCAGCAGUGGGGAAUAUUGGACAAUGGGCGCAAGCCUGAUCCAGCCAUGCCGCGUGGGUGAUGAAGGCCCUAGGGUUGUAAAGCCCUUUCGGCGGGGAAGAUAAUGACGGUACCCGCAGAAGAAGCCCCGGCUAACUUCGUGCCAGCAGCCGCGGUAAUACGAAGGGGGCUAGCGUUACUCGGAAUUACUGGGCGUAAAGCGCACGUAGGCGGAUUGUUAAGUCGGGGGUGAAAUCCUGGAGCUCAACUCCAGAACUGCCCUCGA